GAUGAACGCUGGCGGCGUGCCUAAUACAUGCAAGUCGAGCGAAUGGAUUAAGAGCUUGCUCUUAUGAAGUUAGCGGCGGACGGGUGAGUAACACGUGGGUAACCUGCCCAUAAGACUGGGAUAACUCCGGGAAACCGGGGCUAAUACCGGAUAACAUUUUGAACCGCAUGGUUCGAAAUUGAAAGGCGGCUUCGGCUGUCACUUAUGGAUGGACCCGCGUCGCAUUAGCAAGUUGGUGAGGUAACGGCUCACAAAGGCAACGAUGCGUAGCCGACCUGAGAGGGUGAUCGGCCACCCUGGGACUGAGACACGGCCCAGACUCCUACGGGAGGCAGCAGUAGGGAAUCUUCCGCAAUGGACGAAAGUUUGACGGAGCAACGCCGCGUGAGUGAUGAAGGCUUUCGGGCCGUAAAACUCUGUUGUUAGGGAAGAACAAGUGCUAGUUGAAUAAGCUGGCACCUUGACGGUACCUAACCAGAAAGCCACGGCUAACUACGUGCCAGCAGCCGCCGUAA
rnacentral:rRNA from 1 species